rnacentral:rRNA from 1 species
GAACAUUAUGCCUGGAAUGGUUUAUGUUUCAAAUAAUUUAUUGCCGUAGGAUGGGACUGCGGCCUAUCAGUUUGUUGGUGAGGUAAUGGCCCACCAAGACUAUUACAGGUACGGGCUCUGAGAGGAGUAGCCCGGAGAUGGGUACUGAGACACGGACCCAGGCCCUAUGGGGCGCAGCAGGCGAGAAAACUUUGCAAUGUGCGAAAGCACGACAAGGUUAAUCCGAGUGGUUUCUGCUAAAGGAACCUUUUGUCAGUCCUAGAAGCACUGAUGAAUAAGGGGUGGGCAAGUUCUGGUGUCAGCCGCCGCGGUAAAACCAGCACCUCAAGUGGUCAGGAUGAUUAUUGGGCCUAAAGCAUCCGUAGCCUGCUUUGUAAGUUUUCGGUUAAAUCCAUACGCUCAACGUAUGGGCUGCCGGGAAUACUGCAAAGCUAGGGAGUGGGAGAGGUAGACGGUACUCGGUAGGAAGGGGUAAAAUCCUUUGAUCUAUUGAUGACCACCUGUGGCGAAGGCGGUCUACCAGAACACGUCCGACGGUGAGGGAUGAAAGCUGGGGGAGCAAACCGGAUUAGAUACCCGGGUAGUCCCAGCUGUAAACUAUGCAAACUCAGUGAUGCAUUGGCUUGAUGCCAAUGCAGUGCUGCAGGGAAGCCGUUAAGUUUGCCGCCU